rfam:Heligmosomoides polygyrus genome assembly, scaffold: HPBE_scaffold0001525
GCGCCGGUGGUGUAAUGGGGUAGAGCAUUCCCGCCCGGUCAGAGGGAGGUGCGGGUUCGAGUCCCGUCUGGCUCU